rnacentral:rRNA from 1 species
CCAGACUCCUACGGGAGGCAGCAGUGGGGAAUAUUGGGCAAUGGGCGCAAGCCUGACCCAGCAACGCCGCGUGAAGGAAGAAGGCCCUCGGGUUGUAAACUUCUUUUAUUCGGGACGAAGCAAAUGACGGUACCGAAUGAAUAAGCCACGGCUAACUACGUGCCAGCAGCCGCGGUAAUACGCAGGUGGCAAGCGUUAUCCGGAUUUACUGGGUGUAAAGGGCGUGUAGGCGGGAGAGCAAGUCAGACGUGAAAUUCCGGGGCUCAACCCUGGAACUGCGUUUGAAACUGUUGGUCUUGAGUGUCGAAGAGGCAGGCGGAAUUACUAGUGUAGCGGUGAAAUGCGUAGAUAUUAGGAGGAACACCAGUGGCGAAGGCGGUCUGCUGGACAGCAACUGACGGUGAGGCGCGAAAGCGUGGGGAGCAAACAGGAUUAGAUACCCUUGUA